rnacentral:rRNA from 1 species
CUGGCUCAGGACGAACGCUGGCGGCGUGCUUAACACAUGCAAGUCGAACGGAAAGGCCCUUUCGGGGGUGCUCGAGUGGCGAACGGGUGAGUAACACGUGGGUGAUCUGCCCUGCACUCUGGGAUAAGCCUGGGAAACUGGGUCUAAUACCGGAUAGGACCAUGGGAUGCAUGUUCUGUGGUGGAAAGCUUUUGCGGUGUGGGAUGGGCCCGCGGCCUAUCAGCUUGUUGGUGGGGUGAUGGCCUACCAAGGCGACGACGGGUAGCCGGCCUGAGAGGGUGUCCGGCCACACUGGGACUGAGAUACGGCCCAGACUCCUACGGGAGGCAGCAGUGGGGAAUAUUGCACAAUGGGCGCAAGCCUGAUGCAGCGACGCCGCGUGGGGGAUGACGGCCUUCGGGUUGUAAACCUCUUUCAGUAUCGGCGAAGCUUGCGGGUUUUCUCGCAGGUGACGGUAGGUACAGAAGAAGCACCGNCCAACUACGUGCCAGCAGC